GCAUUUGAGGUGAAGUUCUGUUAUACACUUAGGCUGUGGCUCUCUGAAAGUCAGUGCAUCACAGAACUUUGUCUCGAAAGCUU
rnacentral:pre_miRNA from 2 species